AUCGGCAAAUGAUGAACACUUUUAUUUCAUUAUAUCUGAACUAUGAUGUGGAUUAAACUCCGCUUAUUGUCGAUCUGAUGCCAUA